rnacentral:piRNA from 1 species
UAUUUUUUUUCAAAAGAUAGGUCCCC